UGGGGAAUAUUGGACAAUGGGCGAAAGCCUGAUCCAGCCAUGCCGCGUGUGUGAAGAAGGUCUUCGGAUUGUAAAGCACUUUAAGUUGGGAGGAAGGGCAGUAAGCGAAUACCUUGCUGUUUUGACGUUACCGACAGAAUAAGCACCGGCUAACUCUGUGCCAGCAGCCGCGGUAAUACAGAGGGUGCAAGCGUUAAUCGGAAUUACUGGGCGUAAAGCGUGCGUAGGCGGCUAAUUGAGUCGGAUGUGAAAUCCCCGAGCUUAACUUGGGAAUUGCAUUCGAUACUGGUUAGCUAGAGUGUGGGAGAGGAUGGUAGAAUUCCAGGUGUAGCGGUGAAAUGCGUAGAGAUCUGGAGGAAUACCGAUGGCGAAGGCAGCCAUCUGGCCUACCACUGACGCUGAGGUACGAAAGCAUGGUGGGCAAACAGG
rnacentral:rRNA from 1 species